GAGGGUGGGGCUGAGGCAGGCGAGGACGGUGUGCCGUGCUCUAGAGGUCAGUGGGGACAGCAGGGGAACAGGGUGACCCCAGGACCUGGAGGGCCUUGGCAUGAGGAGUUUGGAAUCGAUCCCGAGAACCUGGAGCUUGUACAGAUUGUUGGGGGGCAGCAGGGGUUACUCUGGGAGAGGGCAUGGAGGGUCGGAACAGCGCCCCAAUGCCAUCUGCCCCCAGGCCGAGAGGUGAGCCCAGCGCAUCAGUACGCUCUGGCUGGAGGCAUCUCCUUCCCCUUCUUCUGGCUGGCUGGUGCGGGCUCGGCCGUCUUCUGGGUGCUGGGUGAGUACAGGGUCUGAGCAGCUGGGGUGGAUGGUGGGGGCCAGGCGCAGGAGUGUGGCCCUGAGCUGCCGGCUUUCCUGCAGGAGCCACCCUGGUGGUCAUCGGCUCCCACGCUGCCUUCCACCAGAUUGAGGCUGUGGACGGGGAAGAGCUGCAGAUGGAACCCGUGUGAGGUGUCUUCUGGGACCUGCCGGCCUCCCGGGCCAGCUGCCCCGCCCCUGCCCACGCCUGUCCUGCACGGCUCUGCUGCUCGGUCCCACAGCGCCGUCCCAUCACAAGCCCCGGGAGGGAUCCCACCUUUGAAAAUAAAGCUGUUACGGGUGUCAUUCAGGAAAUA
rnacentral:sRNA from 1 species